AUGAACGCUGGCGGCGUGCCUCAUACAUGCAGGUCGAGCGAACAGACGAGGAGCUUGCUCCUCUGACGUUAGCGGCGGACGGGUGAGUAACACGUGGAUAACCUACCUAUAAGACUGGGAUAACUUCGGGAAACCGGAGCUAAUACCGGAUAAUAUAUUGAACCGCAUGGUUCAAUAGUGAAAGACGGUUUUGCUGUCACUUAUAGAUGGAUCCGCGCCGCAUUAGCUAGUUGGUAAGGUAACGGCUUACCAAGGCGACGAUGCGUAGCCGACCUGAGAGGGGGGGGCGCCACAAUGAGACAUGGACCCGGGACAGGCCCCAGAGGGAGGCCGCAAGAGGGAAUUCUCCCGCAGGGGGGGAAGGCCGGAGGGGCCACCGCGGGGGGGUGAAUAAGGUUCUCGGGAUCGAAAAUCUUUUUUAUUGGGGAAAAAAAAAUUUAUAAGUAACUAUGCGCGUCUGGAGGUUCCCUAACAAGAAACCCAGGCCAAACCCGGCC
rnacentral:rRNA from 1 species